rnacentral:ncRNA from 2 species
CUUCAUGAGUUGCGGUCGCUCUGUCACAGCACAGCUCCGACUGGCCGCACGCCAACCCCAUGUUCAAGGGUGGCUCGGAUGAGGAAGCGACCUGGCGGGCCACGAGACAAACCCGGCGGGUAAGAGCACUCC